AUGGUGGAGGACUUCACAUUCCCUACCAUGCCACCGGUGCCGUGCGGCGCCAAGAAGCUCCCUUUCCCUCACUUCACUUCGCCGCCGCCAUGGUUCGUCGUCCCGGCCGACGCGGGAGCGCACGACCAUCACCGGCGGUGCUUCUCGGCCGCCGAGCAAGCCGGGAAAGCCAACAACGACGUCUACCCGGGGGGGGGGGGGGGGGGGGGGGGGGGGUGGGGGCGCUCCGAGAGGUUCGCCGUCAUGGAGGAGGCACAAGAUGGACAUGCUGUGGGAGGACUUCAACGAGGAGCUGGCCCGGGCGCCGCAGCCGUGCCCACUGAGCAUGGAGUGGUCGAGCGAGGCGUGGCACGCCGGUGAAGGCGACGGAAUACCAUCCCGGCAUGUGGAUGUGGUGGUCGCCCCCGGUACCGGGAGCAGCGUGGUCCGGCGAAGGAGGCUGGGCCUGAUGAUGAUGCUCAAGCUGCUCUUCUUGGCACGCAAGUCCAGCACCACCUCAAGGAAGACGCCACCAAACUGACAGCAGUUUGGAUGCGAGAAUUAUAUAGAUGCGUGCAUAAAUCAAUCCCAGGUGUAUAUAUAAUAUCGCAUUGUCGAUCGAUAAAUACAUCUUUCUGAAUCAAUCUUCUAGUUUCUCACUUGCUUAUUUUCCCUCGUUUGCGCGGCUCUUCAGAGCUUUGUGCUGCUCAAUUCUGGCUAUGGGUUCUGUUUGAAAUUAUCAUGGUUUGCAUGUUCA